rnacentral:rRNA from 1 species
AUUGAACGCUGGCGGCAUGCCUUACACAUGCAAGUCGAACGGUAACGGGCCUUCGGGUGCCGACGAGUGGCGAACGGGCGGGUAAUACAUCGGAACGUGCCCGACCGUGGGGGAUAACGAGGCGAAAGCUGUGCUAAUACCCCAUACGAGCUACGGAUGACAGCAGGGGACCGCAAGGCCUUGCGCGGACGGGGCGGCCGAUGGCAGAUUAGGUAGUUGGUGGGAUAAAAGCUUACCAAGCCGACGAUCUGUAGCUGGUCUGAGAGGAUGAUCAGCCACACUGGGACUGAGACACGGCCCAGACUCCUACGGGAGGCAGCAGUGGGGAAUUUUGGACAAUGGGCGCAAGCCUGAUCCAGCCAUGCCGCGUGCAGGAUGAAGGCCUUCGGGUUGUAAACUGCUUUUGUACGGAACGAAAAGCCUUCUUUUAAUACAGGAGGGUCAUGACGGUACCGGAAGAAUAAGCACCGGCUAACUACGUG